AUGACUGAACGCCUCUAAGUCAGAAUCCCGCCUAGACGUAACGAUACCAUAGCGCCGCGGAUCUUCGGUUGGCCCCGGAUAACCGGCCUCGGUCGGUGAGUAGAGCCGUUCGUGACAGGGCUGGGGUGCGGCCGGAUGAUGGUCGCCCCUCUCCUAUCUCGCACCGCAUGUUUGUGGAGAACCUGGUGCUAAAUCACUUGUAGACGACCUGCUUCUGGGUCGGGGUUUCGUACGUAGCAGAGCAGCUCCCUCGCUGCGAUCUAUUGAAAGUCAGCCCUCGACACAAGGGUUUGU
rfam:Trichinella sp. T6 scaffold3241s, whole genome shotgun sequence.